AACGAACGCUGGCGGCAUGCCUAACACAUGCAAGUCGAACGAGACCUUCGGGUCUAGUGGCGCACGGGUGCGUAACGCGUGGGAACCUACCCUUAGGUUCGGAAUAACUCCCCGAAAGGGGUGCUAAUACCGGAUAAUGUCUUCGGACCAAAGAUUUAUCGCCUUUGGAUGGGCCCGCGUUGGAUUAGCUAGUUGGUAGGGUAAAAGCCUACCAAGGCGACGAUCCAUAGCUGGUCUGAGAGGAUGAUCAGCCACACUGGGACUGAGACACGGCCCAGACUCCUACGGGAGGCAGCAGUGGGGAAUAUUGGACAAUGGGCGAAAGCCUGAUCCAGCAAUGCCGCGUGAGUGAUGAAGGCCUUAGGGUUGUAAAGCUCUUUUACCCGGGAUGAUAAUGACAGUACCGGGAGAAUAAGCUCCGGCUAACUCCGU
rnacentral:rRNA from 1 species